rnacentral:lncRNA from 1 species
AAUGGGCUGGGUGCUUGGUUGUAGGUCUAUAGUGAACUCAACUUCCCUGUCCACUGGUAGUCCGGGCAGUUCAUCCGAAAACACAUCUGAAAAGUCUCAGACUACCGGAAUCUCUUGGAUACAAAUUUCCUUAUUGGACUUGCCUAGUUAGAGAAAAUAGCAAGGUUAAAGUACUUGAAAAUUAAGAAAACUUGCCACCAAGGAAUAAAUAUCAAAUGAUUUUAUUAAUUUGUAAAUGGCUCAUCAUUAGGAGAAU